GAGUUUGUGGCAUAGUGGUUUGAGCAUUGGACUGCAACUCUGGAGACUAGGGUUCAAUUCUGAGCUCG
rnacentral:tRNA from 1 species